AAAAAAUCGAAAAUCAUUUUUUCCACUUAAAAUUGUCAGACUGCUAAUGCCGAAGUAGGAACAUCAUUUUCCCCUCAGCUGUGAUUAGUACGGUGUGUAGAAAAUGUAUGGGCAGGUUUUCAAGGUUAUCAGGCUGACAGCCAUAAUGACUCCAUUGUACUGCAGGGGUGCAGACCCUGGGACUUAAACAGACCCUGCAGAGGCCUCUCAGCUGGAUGAAAGCACGGCUCGUGGUUUCGUUGGCUAGCUGAAAACAUAGAUCAAAAAGGUGGCAUGUCUUUAUGAAGUCAAAAUUAGACUCAUUUCUCAUCCUAAAGAUGGCUCAAAUGUUACAAUGACAAAUAUUCUAUGAUCUAAGUGUACCAGAUCCAGAAGUGCAUGUUCUUCCUGAUUUGCCAAGUUGAAUAUGUCUUUGUUAUUACUCAACACAAGAGUAGAACUAGCUUUGGAAAGACAGAAAUUACUUGUUCCAUCUAAUAUCCAGGUAGUACUAGCUUUUUAGGUUCUCUGUAUGAAAUGCUUAAAUGAGAUAUCAAUUAAGACUUCUAUAAUUAAUGAAGUGAUUUUACAUGUUGGAGUACACAAAAUUAUGAAUUGACUUCGAAAGACAAAUGUUGAAAUGAGACCUGGUCAAAGUAUAUAUGCAUAAACAGUCACUAAAAUGAGAGAAAUAUUACUUACUAAAUUAUAAAAUAAGCACGAUUUCAAGACAGU
rnacentral:lncRNA from 1 species